rnacentral:tRNA from 1 species
CUCGGUUUAGCUCAGUUGGUAGAGCAUUCGACUGUAGUUGUAGCAUAAAUAGUAAAUAGUAAUCGAAAUGUCAUCGGUUCAAAUCCGAUAACCGAGA